CAGCAGCCACGGUAAUACGAAGGGUGCAAGCGUUACUCGGAAUUACUGGGCGUAAAGCGUGUGUAGGUGGUUGUUUAAGUCUGUCGUGAAAGCCCUGGGCUCAACCUGGGAAUUGCGAUGGAUACUGGGCGACUAGAGUGCGGUAGAGGAUAGUGGAAUUUCCGGUGUAGCAGUGAAAUGCGUAGAGAUCGGGAGGAACAUCAGUGGCGAAGGCGGCCAUCUGGGACAACACUGACGCUGAGGCACGAAAGCGUGGGGAGCAAACAGGAUUAGAUACCCGGGUAGUCCCUGUCUCUUAUAC
rnacentral:rRNA from 1 species